CGCCUCUCUACCAGCCACCCAGGCAAAAUGUCUCUCAGUGAUUUCAGUUGUUAGUGGGGGAGUCUCACUGCUGGUGCACGCUGGGCAGUCUCUUGCAU